rnacentral:rRNA from 1 species
GACGAACGCUGGCGGCGUGCUUAACACAUGCAAGUCGAGCGGUAAGGCCCUUUCGGGGGUACACGAGCGGCGAACGGGUGAGUAACACGUGGGUGACCUGCCCUCAGCUCUGGGAUAAGCCUGGGAAACUGGGUCUAAUACUGGAUAUGACUCCACGGUGCAUGUCGUGGGGUGGAAAGCCUUGUGCGGCUGAGGAUGGGCCCGCGGCCUAUCAGCUUGUUGGGGGGUGAUGGCCUACCAAGGCGACGACGGGUAGCCGGCCUGAGAGGGCGACCGGCCACACUGGGACUGAGACACGGCCCAGACUCCUACGGGAGGCAGCAGUGGGGAAUCUUGCGCAAUGGGCGAAAGCCUGACGCAGCGACGCCGCGUGA